UCAGGAAGAUGCUAUUCCAAGCAUGCACGCAUCUCAAGGUUUCAUUCGACAGAGUCGUGCCUGUGAUUCCGAGUACAAAAGCAUUUACUAACAAUAGUCGGCAGAUCCUUCCUAGCAAUGCAUUGCUGUCUGCCGGUGCUCGUUUCAGAGAAAGAUCUGGAAGUCGCCUCUUUAAUCCACCUCAAUCCACCCCAACUUGCGAAUCGUCAACCUUGGUCCAUGUAAGACGAUCACACCGACGCCUUGCACUUGAUAUCAUGUAGAGGGGCUCUUAGUUUUGCCUAAACUUCUCCUGCACCUGCGAUGCUUCUCACGGAUUAUGAUAGAUGAUUGUUUAUACACACCACUUCUGAUUGUUUAAAUCCAUCAGAGGAGCUUGGUUUCUGAUCAAAAGUAUUGAAGCUGCAUGCUCUAAUCGUCCGCUCGCACUCAGGUCUAGAAACAAUGCCACAGUGUAGACCAACGGUCCGCUUGCUUAUAGGGGAUCUCACGGCGUCGGUGACCGAACAGCGAGAAUGAUUUCCUACACGUAGCACUGUCGAGCCCCUGAUGACCGUGUGUUGCUUACUUUCGAUUUUCAUAUAAAAUCUUACUAAAUUUGUUGUAUAUGUAAAUAGGAAGAACAAAGUUAUAGUUAAAUUAAAUUAAAAUAAGUUCUUUUUGUGCAUGUAAAGAUAUAUAUCUUAUAUAAAACACAAAUCAAGGAGGAUAAACCA
rnacentral:lncRNA from 1 species